rnacentral:lncRNA from 1 species
AUAUCUAAGAGGUGGGGGUAAACAGAGCCCUAAUAAGGAUUGACAGGCAGGAUAUGACUAUCAAAGGUCAAGUCUAAGGCCAUCACGUACCCGGCACAUGGGACCCAGCGGAUCUAAAGACGAUCUGCGUGUUCUGCACAGUCAAGCACCUGACGGAAAUUCUUCACUUAGCCAUGUGACGUGUGAUGAGCGCAAAAUGCAGCAAGAAUAUAGUUUAGGUACUGGCAUUCGACUGUAAUAAGUGGUAUUUGUUUAGCUCAGGGUGCCUGGAAGUGCAACACCUUAUCCCUACGUCUAUUUCAAAAAACCAACACUUUCGGCAUCCACAUAAUGCAAAGCAGUGUUGAACAAAUGUAUUGCAAAAACUGUACAAGCACAUCGAGUAGUCAUCUAUGAUAAAACAGCUCUGUACUGCAACAGCAAUACAAGUUAUCUAAUCAACUGUAGACGCUCUGCAUAAACCCAUAAUUUAAUAAAUCAUUUCUAUACUUCAGUGCUUGAAUGGGUUUGAAAAAUACCAAGUUCAUAUAGUUCUUUGUGUCGUGCCGUGUACAAAUAUACACACCUAAAUCUUUCCUCUGUCUUGCCUUGCUCUUGCAAAUUCAAGUAGCGUUCAUGGGCCCUUUGCUUCUCAAGCUCCUCCCUGCAUAAUAAUCGACAAGUUCAACAAUUUAGGGUUUCAUACUUUAUUAGCAUCAAUAAACCGGCAGCUGUAAACCCAACACAAGGACCAACAUCGCGCAUCACUAUGAAAAUUCCUGCAUGAGAACAACCAAUUGUAACGAGGAAAUGGAGACAGCCCAGACGAAUCAUGUCCAGACCACGCACCCAUCUAUUCUGUGGGUGGUGUAGUGGCGUUGCCCCGUGGGCUUGCCCUUGAACUUGCCGCUUCCGGGCACAAGGCAACGUCGAAGAGCAGGCUAUGGCGAUGGCUGUGGCGAUUGAGGAGUACAUCUGGGACUGCGAAACCCUAAAAUUGGAACGGAAUCCCCGAAAUAAAAACCACACCACGCUCCCUUGCCAUGUUCCCCCAAGGGAACGGAAGAGUUCCCGAAGUUCGAAUGGUGGUGGAUUGCUUCACAAAGCAUCC